UACGUAGGGGGCAAGCGUUGUCCGGAAUCAUUGGGCGUAAAGAGCGUGUAGGCGGCCAGAUAAGUCCGCUGUGAAAACUCGAGCUCAACCUCGAGACGCCGGUGGAAACUGCAAAGCUAGAGUCCGGAAGAGGAGAGUGGAAUUCCUGGUGUAGCGGUGAAAUGCGCAGAUAUCAGGAAGAACACCUAUGGCGAAGGCAGCUCUCUGGGACGGUACUGACGCUGAGACGCGAAAGCGUGGGGAGCGAACAGG
rnacentral:rRNA from 1 species